AUAAUUUCAUAUCAGCCAAUCAUGCUUAAUCAAAUGAAAAAACAGAGCCUGAAGAGGUACCUAAGGAAUCAUAGUUACUUGGUCAGUACAGAGAGCUGAGAAAGAAUCCCAAGAGUCCCGAGGAUCUUGAUGUCUCUGACAAAAUGAAAAUUCAACAUUUUCAGACUCCAGAGGUAUAACGGUCCUAAGCAGAAAGAAGAAUGAGGCUGGAAAUGGUCAAAUUAGACAAGAAUUAUGGGAGAUGGAGAAGUGUAG